GCAAGGGCGGGAGGGGGCUGGAGGGGGGCGGGAGGGGGGGGUGGUUCUGGGGAGAAUGGGGUUUGUUUACCCGGGAACGGUCUGUAACUCCUGGGGAGAGGGGGGCGGAGAGGGGGGAAAUGCGGGAGAGAGGGAAAGAGCUAGACAACUCAACUCGGGGCUCAAAACAGUCAAAUUCAAAUUAAAAGGUCAAGACACGAUUCAGGAUGAAAGUUUCUGCGCCUGCCUCCUGGUGCCUGGCUUGGCCCUUGCGCCUGGGCACCCCGUGGACCGCCUGUCUCGAAGGAAACGGAAUCUGGAGAAUAAGUUGUCUUUCCGGUCGCUCCUCAUUUUUCCCGGGACCGAGCCUACGGUUUGGACUUUCGGAAGGGCAGGAGCCUGGCUGGGAAAAGACCGGAGCUCCAGGCGCCCUGGCUGGAGGCUGAGGAGGCUGGACCGCAGCUAGAGAAGCCCAAGCCGGCAGUUGCUAGAAGGGGACCGCAGAGAGAAAUCCGCCGAAUCCCCCCCCUCACCCCACCCAGGGGACAAGAGAGAAGGCGGAGGGCUCCCCGAACCCCGGGAAAACUGGAAGGAAACGCGGCGCGCGCGUGUGACUUGCUUGCAGGGCGGGCCAGGGGAGAUUCGAAAUGGUUUUGUGUUUUCAUUUGCAGGGGUCGCCGCGGGCUCCGCAUGGGGGGUUGGCCUGGACAAGGUUAGGCUGCUUAGGCCCCGAGACGCGGCUUGGGACAGCCCCGGCAGCAGCAGCCAAGCCGGGGAGCCAUUUGUCCCACCGCCCACCCCGCGGGAAGCGGCUGAGACUUUAUGGCCAUUCUGUUUGUAUUAUCUGCAUAAGUCUUUCCCUACCAGUUUGAUCGAAACCCUUCGCUUUUACGAGGACCCAACGAAAAUUCCCCAUCAUAUUUAUCAGCCGGGGAUAAAAAUUUAGUAUGGGAACUGAUAUUUCCUCAUUUAUGGGGCGAUGAAAUUAAAGACCAAAGCAAUUGAGAAUUAUAUGGCUUUAGGGGGUUCCCUCCCCCCUCUUUUCUCAUCUCCUUUAUUUUCCUGCUUGGUGUGCCUGGCCCUGGAGUUUGGCCAACCAGUCCCCUGCUCUUGCCCCCAGCCCCGUUUGGGGGUCUGGUGGGCCCUCUCCCCCAUCGCUAGGUGCCGUCUGGCCACCUCAGUGGCUCCUGGCUAGUCUGUCCUUGUUGGUAGCUGGGGGCCAGGGCGGUGCGACCGGAGCCUCCGCCGAGGUCAGACGGGGCCCGGGCUGGGGGGCUGGCCGGCCGGGGAGAGCCGCACAGGGGACGAGGCUGAGUGGAGCCUGGGAGAGGUGGGGGAGGCAGCGGAGGAGGUUAAGGAGACAAACUCCAGAUUACUCCUUGAAAACAACCAGUCGGGAGGCUUAACCUCGGCAACCAGCAGGAGAGGACAGGAGCCACGCGGCCUUGGGGCCUGUCUCCCCUUCCCAGCCCACCCCCUGCUCCAAGCCUACCCCUCACCUCAGCGAUGAGAAGGGAUGGAGUCUCUUCAGAAUCCUUGUCAUUUUGAUGGCAAUAAUUCUCCCCCCCCCCGCCCCCCCGGGUGAAGGAGCCUUCCGCCUUGACUCCCACCUCCUCACAAGAACAAAUAGUGUUUAAAGUUGAAAUAAUUAGAAGUAUGAUAAACACGGCCCAUUAAUGAAAAAAGAAAUCAAAUUCAUCAGCCUAAGUGGGACCCCCGGU
rnacentral:lncRNA from 1 species